AUGAACGCUGGCGGCGUGCUUAACACAUGCAAGUCGAACGGGAUCCAUCAGGCUUUGCUUGGUGGUGAGAGUGGCGAACGGGUGAGUAAUGCGUGACCGACCUGCCCCAUACACCGGAAUAGCUCCUGGAAACGGGUGGUAAUGCCGGAUGCUCCGACUCCUCGCAUGGGGUGUCGGGAAAGAUUUCAUCGGUAUGGGAUGGGGUCGCGUCCUAUCAGGUAGUCGGCGGGGUAACGGCCCACCGAGCCUACGACGGGUAGCCGGCCUGAGAGGGCGACCGGCCACAUUGGGACUGAGAUACGGCCCAGACUCCUACGGGAGGCAGCAGUGGGGAAUAUUGCACAAUGGGCGCAAGCCUGAUGCAGCGACGCCGCGUGCGGGAUGACGGCCUUCGGGUUGUAAACCGCUUUUGAUCGGGAGCAAGCCUUCGGGUGAGUGUACCUUUCGAAUAAGCACCGGCUAACUACGUGCCAGCAGCCGCGGUAAUACGUAGGGUGCAAGCGUUAUCCGGAAUUAUUGGGCGUAAAGGGCUCGUAGGCGGUUCGUCGCGUCCGGUGUGAAAGUCCAUCGCUUAACGGUGGAUCUGCGCCGGGUACGGGCGGGCUGGAGUGCGGUAGGGGAGACUGGAAUUCCCGGUGUAACGGUGGAAUGUGUAGAUAUCGGGAAGAACACCAAUGGCGAAGGCAGGUCUCUGGGCCGUUACUGACGCUGAGGAGCGAAAGCGUGGGGAGCGAACAGGAUUAGAUACCCUGGUAGUCCACGCCGUAAACGGUGGAUGCUGGAUGUGGGGCCCGUUCCACGGGUUCCGUGUCGGAGCUAACGCGUUAAGCAUCCCGCCUGGGGAGUACGGCCGCAAGGCUAAAACUCAAAGAAAUUGACGGGGGCCCGCACAAGCGGCGGAGCAUGCGGAUUAAUUCGAUGCAACGCGAAGAACCUUACCUGGGCUUGACAUGUUCCCGACAGCCGUAGAGAUGCGGCCUCCCUUCGGGGCGGGUUCACAGGUGGUGCAUGGUCGUCGUCAGCUCGUGUCGUGAGAUGUUGGGUUAAGUCCCGCAACGAGCGCAACCCUCGCCCUGUGUUGCCAGCACGUCAUGGUGGGAACUCACGGGGGACCGCCGGGGUCAACUCGGAGGAAGGUGGGGAUGACGUCAGAUCAUCAUGCCCCUUACGUCCAGGGCUUCACGCAUGCUACAAUGGCCGGUACAACGGGAUGCGACACGGCGACGUGGAGCGGAUCCCUGAAAACCGGUCUCAGUUCGGAUUGGAGUCUGCAACCCGACUCCAUGAAGGCGGAGUCGCUAGUAAUCGCGGAUCAGCAACGCCGCGGUGAAUGCGUUCCCGGGCCUUGUACACACCGCCCGUCAAGUCAUGAAAGUGGGUAGCACCCGAAGCCGGUGGCCUAACCCCUUGUGGGAUGGAGCCGUCUAAGGUGAGACUCGUGAUUGGGACU
rnacentral:rRNA from 1 species